rnacentral:rRNA from 1 species
GUGAGGAUUUUGCGCAAUGGGGGUAACCCUGNCGCAGCAACGCCGCGUGAGUGAAGAAGGCUUUCGGGUCGUAAAGCUCUGUCGAGUGGGAAGAACCCGCAGCAGGUCAACAGGCUGCUGCGCUGACGGUACCACUUGAGGAAGCACCGGCUAACUCCGUGCCAGCAGCCGCGGUAAUACNGGAGGGUGCAAGCGUUAUUCGGAAUUACNUGGGCGUAAAGGGCGCGCAGGCGGCCAGAUAAGUCAGUAGUGAAAGCCCGGGGCUCAACCUCGGAAGUGCUGCUGAAACUGUUUGGCUUGAGUAUGGUAGAGGGAAGCGGAAUUCCUGGUGUAGCGGUGAAAUGCGUAGAUAUCAGGAGGAACACCGGUGGCGAAGGCGGCUUCCUGGCCCAAUACUGACGCUGAGGCGCGAAGGCGUGGGUAGCAAACAGGAUUAGAUACCCUGGUAGUCCACGCAGUAAACGGUGAUCACUAGGUGUUGGGGGUAUUGAUACCCGCAGNGCCNAAGCUAACGCAUUAAGNGAUCCNNCUGGGGAGUACGG